UGCUGCCGCUCCCUCCCUUCCGACCGAGGCCUCCUGCCUGCGCGACCUCCUAGCUCAGCCGGAAGCAGCACCCGGGUCCAGAAGAGUGAGGGUACCGCCCAGGGACAACCCUGAACGCUGAGGCGCUAUUGGUGCGGAACGCCACCCUUUCUCGCACCCCCACGCUCCGCUAAAGCUCUAGGAUUCCGCUCCCGACGCGAGGUACUGCCCCUCGCGUCAGACGCAGCAUAACCCCGCCCACCGAGACGGGAGCCCGCGCCGGCUGCAGCUCCGACUGGUUGCUGCCUUUGAACAUCCGGCUUCCGGGUCAGCCGCCCUUACUACGCAUCCUCAGACGAGCCUUCCUCUCGGAGAGGCCCGUUGGUUUCUGGGGGUUGUAGUCAUUCUCCGUUGAGAAAGGGUCUUUGGCGACCCAAACUCUGGAACGGGAACUUUUAGGAUACUCAGUCACCACAGAAGAGAGCCGGCCAAUCCCCAGCCUGCGGCGCGGUGACGUCUCCGGUAGCUGGGGCCCACCUUUCCUGUGCGGGCGAAGGCCUCGGCCACCUUGCGGUUCCGCCCUCCGUAGCAGGUAGUGAUGAGAUCAGCAACACCGCAGCUCUCCAAGAAGGUGGCAGGGGACACAGGGCCACUGCAGAAGAGCUUGGUGAAGGCGAUCAUCUCCAUGAGCCCCAGUCGGAUCACGGCCGCCUUGGUGUUGUCGCCAAAGCCCAGCCCAUCACAGAAGCCAGCCCCCACGGCCACUAUAUUCUUUGAAGAGUGAAGUCACGGGUGAGAAAGGAUCCCCUCCCGCAGGCCCCACUUGGGGCCUUCGGCACCUGCCUCAUGCCCCUCCCAUCAGCCAUGACACGCUCACUGAAUAAGUGAAGGAAGGUCUGUCCAGGAUCCAGAGUUCUGGCCAUCAAUCCGUCUGGGUGUCCUGGACGUCUUAUCUCCCAUUAGCCUGAGUGCUCCCCCUGGGCAUCUCCUCUUCCCCCUGGACCAACCUUUGGAGCCAGGGACAGGGAUGUCCCACAAGGGGCUAUAGGGGAAAGGAAGAAGGAAGCCCAAUGUCUGAUGGUCCUCCCCUAUUCCAGUGCAGCCAAAGCUAGCUGUGAGGAGAGCAGAUAACAUGUGAAAACGAAUCCAUCUGAAAACUCUCCUUCCACAACCUACUUCUCCAAGGUAAUGUAUCCCCGCCACAUCCCUAAACAGCCCACUCCUGAGUACCCCCAACCAACUUCCAUCCCAGCCACUGCUCCAAACCAGCUUCCCUUCUCAACUCCUCAAACAAGCCCACUUCUUGUAUCCCCUAGGCAUCCCUUGUACACCUCCUAAACUCCCCAAGACAUCUGCCUCCAAACUCAUCUCUUAUCUACUCCCCAACCAACCUCCCCUUCCCAGUGGCCCCCCGCAUCUGUUUCUCAAGCUUCCCCAAAGCCAGCUCCUCUCUUCAGAAAACUCCUGGCCUACUUCUGCUCUUUUCUGUUUGUCGCACUUCACCCACCCUGAGCCCCACAGCAGUUAGCUGCAUCCCCAUCCACAGGAGGGUGUCCCUGGCACCUUAAUAAGAGAUAUGCCAAUGGUGUCUGCCUUCAGGUGGCCCUUGAGCUGAUCACAGAUCUUGCCGAUGAACUGAUGGGGUACCACGAAGAUCAGGAUGUCAGCAUCCACUGCAGCCUGGACCACAUCUGGGACAGCCACCUGUGGGGGUGACCAGUGUUCAUGGGCCUGAUGGACUGCUUCUAGCCCCUGUGGAGCCCCAUGCAGGAGAUCUAGGAGACAGGGAACAAAAUUAUGCCUACUACAGAGCCAGCCCCCCCAACGACCACUGUUAUUGCACUGGCACUGCGACAAAGGCACCAGUGCCAGGCUGCCGGCUGGGACCACUGAUUAUGGGUGAUGGAAGAGAAAGAAUGCUUCUGUCCCUGGCACACAGGAUGAGAACCCCAAAGAACGGAUGUUUGUGCAUAAAAUAACCUCUUGUGUUUGCCUAAAUGCUUCCAUCUUUUUGUCCCUACGAUCAUUUAAAGUAGUAUGGAGACAAAGAAUUUGUUCAUUUAUAUAGGAAUAAAGAGUGUGCAGAGAUUCAGAA